GAUUUUUGUAGGGCUGUGUGGGUGUUAAGAUGUCUAUAAAGCUCUGCUUUCUUCAAUUAAUGUUUUCCCCCAAAUAGGGUACUCCUGGUCCACAGGGUGAGAAGGGGGAUCAAGGUGACCAAGGACCGCGGGGAUUGUCUGGUCUCCCUACACUGGCUGCUUUGCAGAGCAAUCAGAUCCUGACUGUCAAGGGAGAUCAGGGUUCAGCAGGUCCACCAGGACCUCCUGGGCCCCCAGGUUCCCCUGGCCCCAGAGGGCCACCAGGGGACACAGGCAAGGAUGGGCCCCGGGGAGUGACAGGUCUGCCGGGAGAACCUGGGACAACAGGAGACCUAGGACUGAUGG